GACGAACGCUGGCGGCGUGCUUAACACAUGCAAGUCGAACGCUGAAGCCCUUCGGGGUGGAUGAGUGGCGAACGGGUGAGUAACACGUGGGUAAUCUGCCCUGCACUCUGGGAUAAGCCUUGGAAACGGGGUCUAAUACCGGAUAGGACACAUCGCCGCAUGGUGUGUGUGUGGAAAGUUCCGGCGGUGCAGGUUGAGCCCGCGGCCUAUCAGCUUGUUGGUGGGGUGAUGGCCUACCGAGGCGACGACGGGUGGCCGGCCUGAGAGGGUGACCGGCCACACUGGGACUGAGACACGGCCCAGACUCCUACGGGAGGCAGCAGUGGGGAAUCUUGCGCAAUGGGCGAAAGCCUGACGCAGCAACGCCGCGUGGGGGAUGACGGCCUUCGGGUUGUAAACCUCUUUCGACCGGGACGAAGGAUUCGUUUGACGGUACCGGUAGAAGAAGCACCGGCUAACUACGUGCCAGCAGCCGCCGUAAUAC
rnacentral:rRNA from 1 species